UGCACAUAGAGAGCUGGUCAUCCUGCCCUCACCUUGGCCUAUGAUCUGCCUAGGACAGUGGCCUGGUCAGGGGGCCUGUGUAGGGAGGCUGACUAGUUGAACACUCUGGCCUCCUCCAUCAUGUCGGCCAAGAGAGCAGAACUGAAGAAAACACACCCGAGCAAGAACUACAAGACAGUUUGCCUGGAAUUGAAGCCGGAGCCCACCAAAAUGAAAAACUUUUUUGAGACCAUGCCGGCAGCCAGGCCCGAGACUCCUAGAGAGAUGAUUUGGAGUCAGGGGUCAUCCACUGUUCCUGGUGGCCAAGACCUGUCCCAGACAUAUGAGUACAAAAGAGUUAAAGAAGAAGGACCAUUUGCCAAAGCAGGAGGGACCCAUGAGCUCAAGAAUGAACUCAGGGAGGUGAGGGAAGAGCUCAAGGAAAAAAUGGAGGAGAUAAAACAGAUAAAGGAUGUAAUGGACAAGGACUUUGAUAAACUCCAGGAGUUUGUGGAUAUUAUGAAGGAAAUGCAAAAGGAUAUGGAUGACAAGAUGAAUGUUUUAAUAAAUAUUCAGAAGAACAACAAGCCUCCCCUUAGAAGAGGAACAAGGGAACAGCCAGAACUAAAGCUAAUUAAAAAGACUGACACAGACCCACAGCUCCAACUCAAGAAAAUGGAUGGGGGAGAUGGGGCACUGUCCGGUCUUCAUAAGAAGAUGCUGACACUACAAAAAGCUAAAAAGGACCCACUGGAGUCCCUCCAUCAAUGUGGGACCUGCUGUGAGAAAUGUUUGUUGUGUACCCCAAAGAACAACUACAACGAGAGGAUGAAAUUGGGUCCAGAGAGAGAAAGUCAUUUGUUCAAUGUCACAGUGAGCUUCCUGCAGAUGUCACAUUCAUGGAGAGAAGGCCUGGAAUAAAAGCCCUGACUUGGGACUCAUCUGUCCAGAACCUCAAGACUGCAGGAAGCACCCGCCUGGGCAUCCCAUCCAGCCCUGUCCAUUGUGGCUGCUGUGUCCAGAGCUUUCUGCUCCUCUGCUGCCACACCCCAGGAUGAAGCUUGGUCCUUGUGCACAAAGCUUCCUCACUCAGCCUCCCAGAGGAUCGCAGCUGAGAAGCCCAUCUGCUAAUAUUUCCCCAAGAGGGUCCCCUGGCUGCACAGGAAGAGGGGCGAGGAGGGAGAACAACUCUUUGCUCCCCAGGCCUUGGGACAACUGGAAAAUCUGGGUACCUGAGCAUGCAGAAGGAUUCACAGCUGUGAUUGGUCUGCUUCCCUCAUUGUCUUUGCUAACACUGAUCUCAUGGCAGGGAACAUACCCCCAGUUCUGCUUCUUGAAGUCCCAGCCACCAAUGAUGACAGAACUCAAACUAGCAGGGGUGAGUAAUCUAAUAUUCAGCCAUCAGUUGUUACAGAAACUGAAAAUUUCAACUCACAGUCCAGAGAAUGAAGCAGAAACUUAAGUUACUAAACUCCAGGAGAAAGAGUUGAAUACAGAAAUCAUUACGGAUGAUUUUGGGUCAGAAACGAACACAGUUGAUUUCACAGCAGAAGCCCACCCACUUAGGGCACCAGCCAGGCUGCAGAUGUGUUCAUGACUGAGUGGGGGGUAGAAAUAGUGCAUCUGCUUAGCGUCUUCCUUCCUAACAUGAUUGAAUGAAAGAGCCAUGGGGCUCAACUCUGACUGCACCUUUAAAUC